CAGGAGUGAAAGGCUACGGCUCAACCGUAGUAAGCUCUUGAAACUGGGAGACUUGAGUGCAGGAGAGGGGAGUGGAAUUCCUAGUGUAGCGGUGAAAUGCGUAGAUAUUAGGAGGAACACCAGUUGCGAAGGCGGCUCUCUGGACUGUAACUGACGCUGAGGCACGAAAGCGUGGGGAGCAAACAGGAUUAGAUACCCUGGUAGUCCACGCUGUAAACGAUGAGUACUAGGUGUCGGGGGUUACCCCCUUCGGUGCCGCAGCUAACGCAUUAAGUACUCCGCCUGGGAAGUACGCUCGCAAGAGUGAAACUCAAAGGAAU
rnacentral:rRNA from 1 species